rnacentral:rRNA from 1 species
GACGAACCGUGCGAACGUUAUUCGGAAUCACUGGGCUUAAAGCGCGUGUAGGCGGACAUGUGCGUCGGUCGCUGAAAGCCCCCGGCUCAACCGGGGAACGGGCGCCGAUACGACGUGUCUGGAGGGAGGUAGGGGGAGCCGGAACUUCCGGUGGAGCGGUGAAAUGCGUUGAGAUCGGAAGGAACGCCCGUGGCGAAAGCGGGCUCCUGGACCUCACCUGACGCUGAGACGCGAAAGCUAGGGGAGCAAACGGG